AUGCUGCCCAGCCUAGUGACCGUAGGCUCCCGGCUCUGCUGCUGGGUGUUGCUUUGUCUCUUGGGGACAGGCCUAAUGGAUUCCGGAGUCACCCAGACCCCAAGACACCUGAUCAAAGCACAAGGCCAGCAGGUGACGCUGAGCUGUUCCCCCAUCUCUGGACACCUCUUCGUGUCCUGGUAUCAACAGACUCGAGGCCAGAGCCCCCAGUUCCUCUUUCAGUAUGACAGCGGAAAAGAGAGAGACAAAGGGUAUGUCCCUGACAGGUACUCAGGCCAGCAGUUCACUGACCAUCACUCUGAACUGACCCUCAGUGCGCUGGAGCAGGGGGACUCAUCCUUGCUCCUCUGUGCUAGCAGCACCGACACAGCCCUGCAGAGCCACUGCCGUCCUGUGCACAAACCACCUGCAUGGCUCAGGAAGUGA